rnacentral:rRNA from 1 species
GACGAACGCUGGCGGCGUGCUUAACACAUGCAAGUCGAACGGAAAGGCCCUGCUUUUGUGGGGUGCUCGAGUGGCGAACGGGUGAGUAACACGUGAGUAACCUGCCCUUGACUUUGGGAUAACUUCAGGAAACUGGGGCUAAUACCGGAUAGGAGCUCCUGCUGCAUGGUGGGGGUUGGAAAGUUUCGGCGGUUGGGGCUGGACUCGCGGCUUAUCAGCUUGUUGGUGGGGUAGUGGCUUACCAAGGCUUUGACGGGUAGCCGGCCUGAGAGGGGGACCGGCCACAUUGGGACUGAGAGACGGCCCAGACUCCUACGGGAGGCAGCAGUGGGGAAUAUUGCACAAUGGGCGGAAGCCUGAUGCAGCAACGCCGCGUGCGGGAUGACGGCCUUCGGGUUGUAAACCGCUUUCGCCGGUGACGAAGCGUGAGUGACGGUAAUGGGUAAAGAAGCACCGGCUAACUACGUG